GUGGGGAAUAUUGGACAAUGGGCGCAAGCCUGAUCCAGCCAUGCCGCGUGAGUGAUGAAGGCCUUAGGGUUGUAAAGCUCUUUUGUCCGGGACGAUAAUGACGGUACCGGAAGAAUAAGCCCCGGCUAACUUCGUGCCAGCAGCCGCGGUAAUACGAAGGGGGCUAGCGUUGCUCGGAAUCACUGGGCGUAAAGGGCGCGUAGGCGGCUUUUUAAGUCGGGGGUGAAAGCCUGUGGCUCAACCACAGAAUUGCCUUCGAUACUGGAAAGCUUGAGACCGGAAGAGGACAGCGGAACUGCGAGUGUAGAGGUGAAAUUCGUAGAUAUUCGCAAGAACACCAGUGGCGAAGGCGGCUGUCUGGUCCGGUUCUGACGCUGAGGCGCGAAAGCGUGGGGAGCAAACAGGAUUAGAAACCCGAGUAGUCC
rnacentral:rRNA from 1 species